GAUGAACGCUGGCGGCGUGCUUACNACAUGCAAGUCGAACGACCCUUCGGGUUAGUGCGGGACGGGUGAGUAACGCGUGGGAAUCUGCCCUCAGGAGGGGGAUAACGGUUGGAAACGGCCGCUAAUACCCCAUAUGCCGAGAGGUGAAAUGAAUUUCGCCUGAGGAUGAGCCCGCGUCUGAUUAGCUAGUUGGUGAGGUAAGAGCUCACCAAGGCAUCGAUCAGUAGCUGGUCUGAGAGGAUGAUCAGCCACACUGGGACUGAGACACGGCCCAGACUCCUACGGGAGGCAGCAGUGGGGAAUUUUCCGCAAUGGGCGAAAGCCUGACGGAGCAACGCCGCGUGAGGGAUGAAGGCCUCUGGGCUGUAAACCUCUUUUAUCAAGGAAGAAGAUCUGACGGUACUUGAUGAAUAAGCCACGGCUAAUUCCGUGCCAAAAGG
rnacentral:rRNA from 1 species